AAAAAAAGAAUCGAAAGAUUCGCUUUUUUUAAAACUCUACUAUUAAAUAGUAGAGUUUUUUUCAAACUCUUGUAUACAAUUAUCGUCGUUUGACGAAAUCCAAAAUUAAAUAAAAA
rnacentral:misc_RNA from 1 species